UACGGGGGGUGCAAGCGUUGUUCGGAAUUAUUGGGCGUAAAGAGCGUGUAGGCGGCGGGAUAAGUCAGAUGUGAAAGCCCUGGGCUCAACUCAGGAAGUGCAUUUGAUACUGUUUCGCUUGAGUACUGGAGAGGGAAGAGGAAUUCCUGGUGUAGAGGUGAAAUUCGUAGAUAUCAGGAGGAACACCGGUGGCGAAGGCGACUUCCUGGCCAGAUACUGACGCUGAGACGCGAGAGCGUGGGGAGCAAACAGG
rnacentral:rRNA from 1 species